GGCAAGGGUUUGCUCAGUAACGGCGAGUGAAGCGGCAAAAGCUCAAAUUUGAAAUCUAACACUUUCAGUGUUCGAGUUGUAAUUUGAAGAAAGUUUCUCUGAGUAGUCCUUUAUCUAUGUUCCUUGGAACAGGACGUCAUAGAGGGUGAGAAUCCCGUAUGAUUUUGGAUACUAUUCUUUGUGAGAUUCUUUCGAAGAGUCGAGUUGUUUGGGAAUGCAGCUCUAAGUGGGUGGUAAAUUCCAUCUAAAGCUAAAUAUUGGCGAGAGACCGAUAGCGAACAAGUACAGUGAUGGAAAGAUGAAAAGAACUCUGAAGAGAGAGUGAAAAAGUACGUGAAAUUGCUGAAAGGGAAGGGCUUUAGGUCAGACUUGGUGUUUAAUGAUUAUCUUCUCUUUUUGAGUUGUGCACUCGUUUUUCACUGGGCCAAUAUCAGUUUUUGUGGUAGAGCACCUAUUGGAAUGUAGCUUUUCUUCGGAUGAGUGUUAUAGCCUUUAGACGAUCUAUUUACGGAGACUGAGGACUGCGCGUUAUGCUAGGAUAUUGGCGUAAUGACCUUAAGCCGCCCGUCUUGAA
rnacentral:rRNA from 1 species